UGUCAAGGGAUGGGAAUCGAACCCACGACCUUCCGCUUACCGGGCAGUUGCCAUGACCACUAGGCUACCCUGGGC
rnacentral:tRNA from 1 species